rnacentral:lncRNA from 1 species
CUGCUGGGCUGGACAGGGUGGGUGAAAGGGGUGAUAUUAGAUGGAGAUAGGGUGCUGGUCUGGGGUGGUGCCAACUGCUGGACCAAAGCCACACUGCUCAUAGGAUAUGAUUUACAAAAUUGCAGUUCACAACGAAACAAAAUGUGACCCUUUAUCUCAAAAUUCACUUCAGGUGCCUUUGUUUCUAUCUUUAAUUCUCAGGAUGGCUUCCUUGCCAACUUUUGUUGCUUUUACCUCUGUGGCCCUGGGUUUGCCUGGUCUAUCCCACCUGCAGCUUCCGAGAUAGUACACCGAAAAUGAGAGUGAAACCAUUAGGUUUCAACACCACCGUGUCCUUAUGCAAGGGCUUUUGAAGGAUCGAACUCUGGACCUUGAGCUUGCAAGGCAGGUGCUGGAACCACUGAGCUAAAUCCCCGCCAUCAACAAUAAUCUCCUUACUUUAUUUUUAUUGAUUGAUCAAUUGUGGUACUGGGGAUUACACUCAGGGACUUUCUACCUCUGGGCUACAUCCCCAGCCCUUUUUAUUUUUUGAGACAGAUGGGACUUGAAUUUGCAUUCAUGCACCAUUGUGCAUGGUUUCCUUGUGCUUUCAAUAUAAACCCUAGUGUAACACACCUUUCCAGCCAUUUCUGCCUGUCCUUACCACUGUCAUAGUAAUACAUGCGAGCAUGCCACAUCCUACCCUCAGAUACAGCUUUCCAAGGUAGGAAGGCACCUUUCUGCCUGGGUUAGCACAACUCCUUUGUACACUGGUGCAAAGUUAAUUGUUAACCAAUAGGCUAAGUCCACAUACACCAGAGGCCUCAUUUGAAAGAAGAGUCUUCUUGUAAAUGAACUGCUUACACUGUCUAAAUUCAAUUAUCAAGUGAGAAAAUGUAACAGAGCUCUUUGGGAGGGCACACAUUACUAAAGGUCUCUAUGGCCGCUAGAAGUUGACAUUUAAGUUUAAUCAGAGCUAACACCUCCUAAGUGACUGGAUUGUGUUUUCUUUCACACUAACACGUCACAAUGUCAGAC